AACUUCACUACUCUAGUGUCUCAACUAUAAUAAUAUUUACUAGUCUUUGCUGUAGCCUUAAAUUGAGUGACCAUUGCAUGUUCUUAAUAAUAUAUUAUGAGUCUUAAAAAAGCAAUUCAUCUUAAACACUUUCGCUCCAAUGCUGUGCUUGAAGUAUUAGAACGAUGGAUUUACAAUAUUACUUAUGCUUCUUUAGAAAAGCCUCUCCUGACUACCUUAAUAACAAUGACUGCUAGUGUGAUAUUUCUAGCAAUAAUGUUAAUACUUGCAGUAAUUUUUGCUGGUGUGAUAUGUCUCACAAGUAUUAUUUUGUUAAUUGAAGGGUUUUUGCUAGUGGUGAUGAUAAUUGCAGUUAGUUUAAUUACAAUGAUUGGUUCAUACAUUUAUGUCGUUGGCAUUACCUUAACUCUUUAUUUCAAAGCUGAAAGUAAAGAAGCCUACGGCAGAAAUAAAAUGGCUUAACUUCAAAGUUUUUAUUGUCUUUAAUAUUACUUGUAUUUUUCGUAUAGUAAUUAAAUAACUUUUGGAAA